GGAGGGGACAGCUCAGUGGUGGAGCGCGUGCUUAGCAUGCAGUUGGUCCUGGGUUUGAUCCUCAGUCCCUCCA
rnacentral:tRNA from 1 species